rnacentral:hammerhead_ribozyme from 1 species
CCACUGCUGAGGAGUCCCAUAAUAAGACGAAACGGCCGACCAGUGC